UGAAAAAACAUUUCUAUAUCAGCAAAGUUCCUCUCUUUACCAUUUACCAAAAAUAUUGUUUUGGUGUUCGGUUUUAUUCCUUUUUUACAACUUGGGCAGGACAGAGUUGAUAUACAAACGAGAGCAUAACAGACAUUGAUGGAUAAGGAAAUGUUGAUCUCUGAGGUCUGAAAAUAAAGAGAUUGAUGCAUCAAGAAGGAACAAUUCCUUUGUGUCUUUGUUCUGCUUUUAUAUUUCUGGGCAUUCGGGAUUUCAGACUCUAAUCGUUUGUAAUAUAUUGAACGAACUCCUUACUCCGUUAAUCCUUUCUAAGUCUGUUUUUUCAGCUCUCAGGGUUUGAUGUUCUUCAGAAUAUAGGUACAUUACAAUUAUUUUCU
rnacentral:lncRNA from 1 species